GAUGAGCGCUGGCGGCAUGCUUAACACAUGCCAGUCGGACGGGAAGUGGUGUUUCCAGUGGCGGGCGGGUGAGUAACGCGUAAGAACCUGCCCUUGGGAGGGGAACAACAGCUGGAAACGGCUGCUAAUACCCCGUAGGCCGAGGAGCAAAAGGAGGAAUCCGCCCGAGGAGGGGCUUGCGUCUGAUUAGCUAGUUGGUGAGGCAAUAGCUUACCAAGGCGAUGAUCAGUAGCUGGUCCGAGAGGAUGAGCCGCCACACUGGGACUGAGACACGGCCCAGACUCCUACGGGAGGCAGCAGUGGGGAAUUUUCCGCAAUGGGCGAAAGCCUGACGGGGCAAUGCCGCGUGGAGGUAGAAGGCCCACGGGUCGUGAACUGCUUUUCCCGGAGAAGAAGCAAGGACGGUAUCGGGGGAAUAAGCAUCGGCUAACUCUGU
rnacentral:rRNA from 1 species